GCCUGGCUAGGUCAGUCAGUAGAGCAUGAGACUUUUAAUUUCAGAGUCGUGGGUCGAGCCCCAUGUUGGGUG
rnacentral:tRNA from 1 species